UUACGAGUAUAUGUAUAUAUAUGGGGAAAACACAAUCGAAAUAACAAAUUUACCUAAUAACAAAACAAAUGAAUAUAUUCAAGAAAGACUAAGAAAAGCUUAAAUAAAUAUGGAAGAUUAAAAAUUUUAAAAUGUUUAAUUCAGGUAUAUCUAUAUAUAAGGUAUUUAACAGUUGGCUUAACUUUAUUAACUUCUUUGAAGAACUUUUUAUCAAAACAAAUAAAAACAAUGAAAUAUUAAUUAGUGCGAAUAUUAUAUCCGAUCAAAAUUUAUGUAUAUAUUUAAAUAACAAAUUAAUCGAAUUAAAAAAAAAAACGAACUCGAUUAACUCUGUACACUGGAGACAACAUUCUUUACAAUUACCACAAGAUGUAGAAGCUAAGUUAAACAAUGAACAUCCACAAAAAUUAAAAGAAGAAAUUCAAAUUUUAUCAAGAACGAAAGAUUUUUACAAGAUUCAUGAUGAACGUCAUUUAUUUAAAUUAAAACUCAACAAAGAGAGGAAAGAAAAAAAAGGAUUACUAAAAAAUAAAAACACAAAGUAAAAAGCAAGGAAAAAAAAUAUCUUGAAAAAGUUUAUUCCAUAAAAUGAUAAAAAUAUUUUUUCAUUAAUUAUGUUCUUAUGCAUGUUAUACAUAUAUGUAUAAAUAUAGAAGCUGUUGUUUAUAUUUUUUUUUUUUUUUUUUUACGUGUUAUUAUGUAUGUAUAAUAACAUUUAUAUAUGUCAUUAAUAUUUUUAUUUUUAAAAAAAAAGUUAAAAUAAACAAAUAAAAAAAACAAGGCA
rnacentral:lncRNA from 1 species